GGGCGCUUGGUGCAGCGGUAGCACGCCACCUGUUCAGGUGGAGAGGUUUGGUUCGAAUCCAAUAGUGUCCA